AGAGUUUGAUCCUGGCUCAGAACGAACGCUGGCGGCAGGCUUAACACAUGCAAGUUGAACGUGAUUUGUUUGGUGCUUGCACCGAGCAAUGAAAGUAGCGCACUGGUGAGUAACACGUGGGAACGUACCUUUUGGUGGGGAACAACAGUUGGAAACGACUGCUAAUACCGCAUAAGCCCUGAGGGGGAAAGAUUUAUCGCCGAAAGAACGGCCCGCGGAAGAUUAGGUAGUUGGUGGGGUAACGGCCUACCAAGCCGACGAUCUAUAGCUGGUCUGAGAGGACGAUCAGCCACAUUGGAACUGAGACACGGUCCAAACUCCUACGGGAGGCAGCAGUGAGGAAUAUUGGGCAAUGGAGGCAACUCUGACCCAGCCAUGCCGCGUGAGUGAAGAAGGUUUUCGGAUUGUAAAGCUCUUUCGGGUGUGACGAUGAUGACGGUAGCACCUAAAGAAGCCCCGGCUAACUUCGUGCCAGCAGCCGCGGUAAUACGAAGGGGGCAAGCGUUGUUCGGAAUUACUGGGCGUAAAGGGUGUGUAGGCGGAUUUGUAAGAUAGUGGUGAAAUACCUGAGCUCAACUUAGGAAUUGCCAUUAUAACUAUAGAUCUGGAGUGACAGAGAGGAUAUUGGAAUACCCAGUGUAGAGGUGAAAUUCGUAGAUAUUGGGUAGAACACCAGUGGCGAAGGCGAGUAUCUGGCUGUCAACUGACGCUGAGGCACGAAAGCAUGGGGAUCAAACAGGAUUAGAUACCCUGGUAGUCCAUGCUGUAAACGAUGAAUGCUAGUUGUCGGCAAAAGCCGGUGACGCAGUUAACGCGAUAAGCAUUCCGCCUGGGGAGUACGGUCGCAAGAUUAAAACUCAAAGGAAUUGACGGGGACCCG
rnacentral:rRNA from 1 species